AUCCAGCUGACGAGUUCCAAGUAGUACGAAACGCGUGUCUUGAAU
rfam:Schistosoma rodhaini strain Burundi genome assembly, scaffold: SROB_scaffold0009932